UACGAAGGGGGCUAGCGUUGCUCGGAAUCACUGGGCGUAAAGUGCACGUAGGCGGAUUGCUAAGUCAGGGGUGAAAUCCUGGAGCUCAACUCCAGAACUGCCUUUGAUACUGGCGAUCUUGAGUCCGGGAGAGGUGAGUGGAACUGCGAGUGUAGAGGUGAAAUUCGUAGAUAUUCGCAAGAACACCAGUGGCGAAGGCGGCUCACUGGCCGGCUACUGUACGCUGAGACGCGAAAGCGUGGGAGCAACAGG
rnacentral:rRNA from 1 species